AGUGGAAUAACUGGGUCAAAUGGUCCAUUUCAAGUUUUCUAAGGAAUCUCCAUACUGUUUUCCAUAGUGGAUACACCAGUUUGCACUCCCACCAGCAAU
rnacentral:pre_miRNA from 1 species